GGACUUUGGAGGGUGUUUGUGGGGCGCAGGAGUCGAAGUCCCUGUGCCAAUGCAGAUGCCUUGUAGUAAGUCUAGAUAUCUGGCAUGUUCAAUCCCCCACUUGUACAUGGGAGUCCUAGAGUACCCUUUGCCACUCUCAGGGGUUUCCGCUUCCACACAUGUGCGUUUAUUGUGCUUUGAAAGAGAUUUAGUAGUUUGUUUGGUAGAGCGAUGAGCAGGGUUCGGAACAGGUACAAUAUAUGCGGCAGUGCCAUCAUUUUCACAAGAUUGAUGCGGCCUAACCAGGACACCUCAAGCCCCUCCCACUUCGAGUGUGGCAUUAAGUUUUUGUAUGACCGGGUAAUGGUUUUCCCGUGUG